rnacentral:rRNA from 1 species
UCGAGAAUUUUUCUCAAUGGGGGAAACCCUGAAGGAGCGACGCCGCGUGGGGGAUGAAUGGCUUCGGCCCGUAAACCCCUGUCAUUUGCGAUCAAACCUUACGACCUAACACGUCGUAAGCUGAUAGUAGCGGAAGAGGAAGGGACGGCUAACUCUGUGCCAGCAGCCGCGGUAAUACAGAGGUCCCAAGCGUUGUUCGGAUUCACUGGGCGUAAAGGGUGCGUAGGCGGUCGGGUAAGUCUGACGUGAAAUCUUCGAGCUUAACUCGGAAACUGCGUCGGAUACUAUUCGGCUAGAGGAAUGGAGGGGAGACUGGAAUACUUGGUGUAGCAGUGAAAUGCGUAGAUAUCAAGUGGAACACCAGUGGCGAAGGCGAGUCUCUGGACAUUUCCUGACGCUGAGGCACGAAAGCCAGGGGAGCAAACGG